rnacentral:rRNA from 1 species
UACGUAGGGACCGAGCGUUGUCCGGAAUCAUUGGGCGUAAAGAGCGUGUAGGCGGCCAAUUAAGUCCUGCGUGAAAUCUCGGGGCUCAACCCCGAGCGGUCGUGGGAAACUGGUUGGCUAGAGUGCGGGAGAGGAGAGUGGAAUUCCUGGUGUAGCGGUGAAAUGCGCAGAUAUCAGGAGGAACACCGGUGGCGAAGGCGGAUCUCUGGGCCUUACCUGACGCUGAGGCGCGAAAGCUAGGGGAGCGAACAGG